rnacentral:misc_RNA from 1 species
AAGUCGUAACAAGGUAUCCGUAGGUGAACCUGCGGAUGGAUCAUUACCAAUUUUAUUAUAUUAGUUUGGGUAGGUCUGUCUUCGGAGAGGCGUUACUCACAACUACUAUGUAAACGUUGAACUAGAUCAAUUGGUGUGGAUUGCUUGGGAAUGGACGAAGCGACAAGCCUCUUCCGGACAGGCAAACCCCACACUGAUAACCCUUUUCAAUAUAAUUUACUAGUACAUACUACAAACAAACAAACAAACAAAAGCUAUAAUAGGACUUAUAAACAGGCUGAGUGGGUAAAAUCCUCGGCUUAACCAAUAUAACUAUUACAACUUUCAGCAAUGGAUCUCUAGGCUCUC